ensembl:snoRNA LOC120094881 small nucleolar RNA SNORA75
AUCUUCUCAUUGAGCUCCUUUCUGUCAACCAGUGACAGAUUAUGGAUUCGCACGAGAAGAAGAGAAAGUUCACAGAACUAGCACUUAAUCUUCUGUUUUUGCAGGAGAUCUAUUUGGCUGUUAUGUGUGAGACAUUC